UACGAGAGGCGCAAACGUUAUUCGGAUUUACUGGGCUUAAAGAGUUCGUAGGCGGCGCAGAAAGUAGGGUGUGAAAGCCCUCGGCUCAACCGAGGAAUUGCGCUCUAAACUACUGUGCUUGAGGGACCUAGAGGUGAGCGGAACUGAUGGUGGAGCGGUGAAAUGCGUUGAUAUCAUCAGGAACACCGGAGGCGAAGGCGGCUCACUGGGGGUCUUCUGACGCUGAGACACGAAAGCCAGGGGAGCGAACGGG
rnacentral:rRNA from 1 species